AUGAUCUUCCUUUACAACAAGUAUGGAUGGCCGGAUUGAGUUAUAAGGUCACCUUCAUGUUUGAGAUAGAAGAUCAUAGACUCUUAUGGUGUCAAGUUGAGUGGUGGAUUGGCCCAGGUGAAAAUUUGAGGAAUCUUCUGGGGCUGAGAUCCCAUGGCUCAGCAUUUGUUCUUUUAACCAGCUUCAUCCAGCACUUACCAGUAUGAUUGGUUGACAAGAGAAAUAGGAGUAUAUCUAAGAGAAACGCCACUACUUAACCACCAUGCCUCCCAUUUUAUGGAUUCUCCUACAACAAGGACCUUGUUCAUAGAGGUUAUUGGCAAAGAAUUUUCAAACUAAACCACAAGAAGUUUGGAGAGACUGUUGGGACAAGGUAAUAGGAAGGCCACAAUGCUGCCAUCAUUUCUUCAAGCUGCCCAUGUUAGAUAAGAUGUCCUAUUUGGAUACUGCAUUUUGCCUAAAGGCUGCUUGAAUAAUGGAGGAUGAUGGCAAAGCACUUUGCAACCAAAACUCCCAAGACCACGAUUCCUACCCUAUAAUAUCCCUUGAUGAUUGAUGGUCCAGAAGAUUCUAAAUUUGCCUUACCGAUGUAUGGAGAGGACCAUCAUUAGAGGAUUAUUCACCUUAAAACUAAGGUGUGAUUGCUUUAAGAUGCAGAAUGAGAUUUGCACAGUGCCAAUGAGAUCAACAUCCCCAUUUGCACUGGGAGUCUAUGGAUUGACUUGUCAGGUCACUUUUACAUUUGAAAUUGGAAAUCAUAGAAAGAUGUGGAGUAGAAGACUGGAUCAGGUAAGAGCUCUGAGGAAUCUUCCAAUUUGGAGAUCACGUGAUUUUGCUUCUCUUUCAGUCAACUUCAUCCAGCACUCCAGCCUUCAUCCAACAUCCAUCAUCUUUCAGUCAACUUCAUCCAGCACAUCCAGCCUGUACUUCAGGGUCUAA
rnacentral:lncRNA from 1 species